GCGCCUGUAGCUCAGCUGGAUAGAGCCCGGGACUCCGGAUCCCGGCGUCGCGGGUUCAAGUCCCGCCAGGCGCGCCA
rnacentral:tRNA from 1 species